AUUGAACGCUGGCGGCAGGCUUAACACAUGCAAGUUGAGCGAGCGGCGGACGGGUGAGUCAUGUAUGGGGAUCUGCCCGAUAGAGGGGGAUAACUACUGGAAACGGUAGCUACUACCGCAUACUAUUGGAGCGGCCGAUAUCGGAUUAGCUAUGUGGUGGGGUAACGGCUCUCCAAGGCAACGAUCCGUAGCUGGUUUGCACGGACGACCAGCCACACUGGUGCUGGUACUCGGCCCAGACGCCUACGUGAUGCAGCAGUAGGGAAUUUUGGACAAUGGGGGAAACACUGCUCCAGCCAUCCCGCGUGUAGGUGAAGGCCUUCGGGUUGUAAAGUACUUUGGGCAGAGAAGCGGUAUCUGCAGAAUAAGCCCCGGCUAACUACGUGCCAGCAGCCGCGGUAAUUC
rnacentral:rRNA from 1 species